rnacentral:lncRNA from 1 species
AGGGGCGCUUUUUCUUCUCGCGCGGCUUGGCGGGGUUAGUGGACGAGGCCGGCGAGUCGGGGAAGCUGUCCAUGUCCAUGAGGCGGAGACGGAGCAGCCGUCGACACAACAACGAGGUUUCGGCCGCAUUGACUCUGGCGACCUUCCCCGACCUGCUCCCGUCGCUCCCGGCGAGGCCGUCCUUCAUCCGCCGCCUCGCCUUCGCAUUCCAGCACCGCGGGUGUCCUCCUCCGCCUUCUCCCAACUCCUCGACGCCACCGCCGACCGCGGCCUUUCCGAGCUUGCCGUCUGCCUGCACCGCAACGGGUUCCUUCCCAAGAACCUCCUCUCCAUCCGCUCCCUCACCGUGGUCUCACUCAACUCAUGCGGGUUGCCUCGCCGGUUAUGGAGGAACGGCAGGUGGGCCACUCAAGCUGUGCGGGCUGCCAGUGGCAACCCUUCAAAUCACUCAAACUCACACUUGAUCGGAGGUGG